CAAUAGCGUAUAUUUAAGUUGUUGCAGUUAAAAAGCUCGUAGUUGGAUUUCGGGUGUGAACGACCGGUCCGUCUUUGAUGUGUACCGGUUGGUUGCGCCUUAUUGUCGAGGACGUGGUUCUAGCUUUCAUUAGCCGGGACACGGAGUCGGCAGCGUUACUUUGAGAAAAUUAGAGUGUUCAAAGCAGGCUAUCGCUCUGAAUACUACAGCAUGGAAUAACACGAUAGGACUCCGAGCCUAUUCUGUUGGUCUUCGGGACCGGAGUAAUGAUUAAGAGGGACAGUUGGGGGCAUUCGUAUUCCGAUGUCAGAGGUGAAAUUCUUGGAUUAUCGGAAGACGAGCAUCUGCGAAAGCAUUUGCCAAGGAUGUUUUCAUUAA
rnacentral:rRNA from 1 species